UGGCUUCCCGACCUGCGCUACCGCAUCGAAGACAGAACCCCCUCUACCUGUCCCAGCCCCUUUUGCCACACGCCCCUCCGAAACUGAGAGCCUUCGAGCAUCUCGUUCCCGAAUUCUGUGCCCGAUCGCACAUGCUGCUAUCUCCGAGAGUGAUUUUACCUGCCGUUUAUAGCAGAUCUUCUGAUGAAGACUUUUGUUUUAUAGCUGCGAUGUCUGAGGACAGCUGACGGUAUAGGAAUCUCUGCUACCCCCAGAAAGGGCUCGGCUCAGAGCCUACGAUAUGAAGCCUCAAGUGUUCAGCCAAGACCAGACACCUUCAAAUUCUAAACAGAGAUGAAGAAAAACAAGAAAAUAACAACAAGAAGUUUAUAAAACAAACCCUAUGAGAAAAAGCUGAAGGAAUUAGAUUAGCCUAGUCAAGGAAAUAAAAGCUCCAAGUAGAUACAGUUUUCUGAUACAUAAAAGCUCAUUACAGAGAUGUUGAUCAGCUAUCCUCUGUGGUUCCUGUAGAAUGGCAUAAAAGAGUCAACUUGAUUUGUGACAAGAAAUACCUAAAAGAUUUUGCUAAUCAGCAUUCCAACUAAGCAGCUCUAAACACUAGAACUGACUGUCUAGGGGCACUGUGGAAUCUAUUCUGCUGAAAUUGUUUAAGAACAAAAUUUGAUAAGCUUGUGGGUACUAGCCUUGAUGUAACUAAGUCUUGAUGCAGUACAGACUGGACCAGGUGAUCUUUUGUGACAUCUUACAAACCUCCAGUUCAACAACGGAUAUAAUUCUGAAAAGGGAAAGUUCAUUACAAACCCUGCAUUUUUGUUGUUCAAAUUCUGCAUUAGUGAGCUUUCUUAACUAACCAGAAAAAUCCAGGAAAAAAGCAAGUGGUUUCCUACAGAGCUCUGGGUUCAACACAAAAUCGCAGGUUUGAUGUCAUCAUAUUACGAGAUUUUUCUAAUUACUCUUCUAAUUUCUAUCAUUAUUCUCCUGCUAUAUUAUCCACGUCAGUUCCCUUUUCAAUAUCACAACUGAACCAAAGAGGCUGUCGCUUGGAAUGCCAGUUCAGCCAAAACUAAAGAUCCUACCCAUAUAUAGAAAGAUGCACAUAGACUGUUGGGCCUCAGAAUUCACUACUCAAUGUAAAAGGAGACUGUUUGAUUUUCCAAAGAGGUGAGAGGCCCACGGCUUUCACAGCUGGUGACCUAGUUUGUAAAUGAUGGUCUCUGUGUUAAAUACAUUAAAUGAAAUUUUAGCAUUGAUUUAUGUUUUAUGCUAUGCUAACACUUUCCCUUGUCACCUUCCCUAAAGUUUUCUAAGCAGUGACACCACUACUUUGAACUCAAAUGCACUCUUAGAUGUCAUCAAUAUUCAAGUCCUGUCAGUACUGUCCUUUACAUUGUUUCUCAAGUUAAAGCCCACUCAUUCUUGAGAAAACAGUAAUCCAUGUGUUGCCUUCUGCUGUGUUACCAUGAUUGUUUUCAUUUAUAACACAAUAAAUGAAAGGUUAACAA